rnacentral:rRNA from 1 species
GACAGAGGGUGCAAACGUUGUUCGGAAUUACUGGGCGUAAAGCGCGUGUAGGCGGCUAUGCAAGUCGGGCGUGAAAUCCCACGGCUCAACCGUGGAAGUGCACUCGAAACUGCGUAGCUAGAGUCCUGGAGAGGAAGGUGGAAUACUUGGUGUAGAGGUGAAAUGCGCAGAUAUCAGGAAGAACACCCGUGGCGAAGGCGGUUCUCUGGGACGGUACUGACGCUGAGACGCGAAAGCGUGGGGAGCGAACAGG